GCUGGCAAGGCAGAAGAUCAAACUAACCUGCCCUUCAAAAGCUGAAAGUCUUGCAGAAGGAACAGACAGACAAGUAAACAGUCACAGAGAGCAGUGGAAAGCAGAAAAAUAACAUCUUCAUAAAGAAACUCCAGGGGAUGCUUCUGUUUCUAACUGCUCACCUGUCCCUGUAUAGCCCUAAGUGGUACACCUUGUUAA